rnacentral:rRNA from 1 species
GUGGGGAAUUUUGGACAAUGGGCGCAAGCCUGAUCCAGCAAUGCCGCGUGCAGGAAGAAGGCCUUCGGGUUGUAAACUGCUUUUGUACGGAACGAAACGGUCCUGGCUAAUAUCCGGGGCUAAUGACGGUACCGUAAGAAAAAGCACCGGCUAACUACGUGCCAGCAGCCGCGGUAAUACGUAGGGUGCGAGCGUUAAUCGGAAUUACUGGGCGUAAAGCGUGCGCAGGCGGUGCUGUAAGACAGGGGUGAAAUCCCCGGGCUCAACCGGGGAAUUGCGCUUGUGGCUGGAGUGCUGGAGUGCGGCAGAUGGGGAUGGAAUUCCAAGUGUAGCAGUGAAAUGCGUAGAUAUGCGGAGGAACACCGAUGGCGAAGGCAAUCCCCUGGGCCUGCACUGACGCUCAUGCACGAAAGCGUGGGGAGCAAACAGGAUUAGAUACCCUAGUAGUCC